GAAAUGCGAUAAGUAGUGUGAAUUGCAGAAUUCAGUGAAUCAUCGAAUCUUUGAACGCACAUUGCGCCCCUUGGUAUUCCAUGGGGUAUGCCUGUUCGAGCGUCAUUUGUACCCUCAAGCUCUGCUUGGUGUUGGGUGUUUGUCCCCGUCUCCGCGCGUGGACUCGCCCCAAAGUGAUUGGCAGCCGGCGUACUGGUCCCGGAGCGCAGCACAUGUCGCGCAAACGAGUGCCUUGGUACGGCGGCGUCCAUAAGCCCCUCUCUCACGCUCUUGACCUCGGAUCAGGUAGGGAUACCCGCUGAACUUAAGC
rnacentral:misc_RNA from 1 species